GAGCAGGACACAGACCUGAGAUUUCUCUGGAUCUGGAAAAGGAGCUGGAGGAUUGGAGGUGCUCUUCUAUAUGGAUGACUGUCUAAAGUCAGCAGCAAGUGAGGAAGAAGCCUUGACACCUACUCAGGACCGCACAUCACUGUGUUCUAAAUGAGGCUUUAGACUGAACAAAUGGAUCAGCAACAGUCAAGUUGUUGCCUCUAUUCCUGAAGAGGAGAAAGCAAAGGAGAUAACGGAUCUGGACUGGGAUCAGAACAUGCUACCAGUGUAUUGUAUUUUGUAAUGUUAUGUAUAGUAUGUAUUAUAUUGUUGUGUUUUGUUUUGAGUUUGGAACAACUUGGCAGCGACGAAAUAGCAAAUACUAAACUCGUGGCUCAUGGGGCAAGUCACACAAACCACCCCGACUCCGGAGGGCUGGUUAGGCAAGUGAGAACCCAGACCACCAAGCUGUGUCUGCUGCUGGAGGCCCACAUAAGGUUUCCUCUAUGUUUUGAAGUUGUAAUUGUUUUGAUCCCACAAGAACAAGGAGUUUGGUUGAUGAAAUCAUGUUUCUGGUUUCCUACUAUGGUUAUCAUGGGUAUUUGAAAGCAAGAUGGAGCCUCACCUGGACACAGCCCUUUUCCCAUGUUCACCUUUCCUAUACUUAUUUAGGGUUUUGGCAUUAUGGGUCAGCUAGGUCUCAGGUAUAGAGUUACCAUACAUUAUGAGUCAGCUAGGACUCAGGUAUAGAGUUACCAUACAUUAUGGGUCAGCUAGGUCUCAGGUAUAGAGUAACCAUACAUUAUGAGUCAGCUUGGUCUCAGGUAUAGAGUAACCAUACAUUAUGAGUCAGCUUGGUCUCAGGUAUAGAGUAACCAUACAUUAUGGGUCAGCUAGGUCUCAGGUAUAGAGUAACCAUACAUUAUGGGUCAGCUAGGACUCAGGUAUGGAGUUACCAUACAUUAUGGGUCAGCUAGGACUCAGGUAUAGAGUAACCAUACAUUAUGAGUCAGCUUGGUCUCAGGUAUAGAGUAACCAUACAUUAUGAGUCAGCUUGGUCUCAGGUAUAGAGUAAACAUACAUUAUGGGUCAGCUAGGUCUCAGGUAUAGAGUAACCAUACAUUAUGGGUCAGCUAGGUCUCAGGUAUGGAGUAAGCAUACAUUAUGGGUCAGCUGGGACUCAGGUAUGGAGAUAACAUACAUUAUGGGUCAACUAGGACUCAGGUAUGGAGUUACCAUACAUUAUGGGUCAGCUAGGACUCAGGUAUGGAGAUAACAUACAUUAUGGGUCAGCUAGGACUCAGGUAUGGAGGUAACAUACAUUAUGGGUCAGCUAGGACUCAGGUAUGGAGGUAACAUACAUUAUGGGUCAGCUAGGACUCAGGUAUGGAGGUAACA